CCUACGGGAGGCAGCAGUGAGGAAUAUUGGUCAAUGGGCGAGAGUCUGAACCAGCCAAGUAGCGUGCAGGAUGACGGCCCUAUGGGUUGUAAACUGCUUUUAUAAGGGAAUAAAGUGAGUCUCGUGAGACUUUUUGCAUGUACCUUAUGAAUAAGGACCGGCUAAUUCCGUGCCAUGCAG
rnacentral:rRNA from 1 species